AGUGAACGCUGGCGGUAGGCCUAACACAUGCCAGUCGAACGGCAGCACAGUAAGAGCUUGCUCUUACGGGUGGCGAGUGGCGGACGGGGGAGGAAUACAUCGGAAUCUACUUUUUCGUGGGGGGUAACGUAGGGAAACUUACGCUAAUAACGCAUACGACCUACGGGUGAAAGCAGGGGAUCUUCGGACCUUGCGCGAUUGAAUGAGCCGAUGUCGGAUUAGCUAGUUGGCGGGGUAAAGGCCCACCAAGGCGACGAUCCGUAGCUGGUCUGAGAGGAUGAUCAGCCACACUGGAACUGAGACACGGUCCAGACUCCUACGGGAGGCAGCAGUGGGGAAUAUUGGACAAUGGGCGCAAGCCUGAUCCAGCCAUACCGCGUGGGUGAAGAAGGCCUUCGGGUUGUAAAGCCCUUUUGUUGGGAAAGAAAAGCAGCAGGUUAAUACCCCGCUGUUCUGACGGUACCCAAAGAAUAAGCACCGGCUAACUUCGUG
rnacentral:rRNA from 1 species